rnacentral:rRNA from 2 species
UGCAGUCGAACGCACUCUCGUUAGAUUGAAGAAGCUUGCUUCUGAUUGAUAACAUUUGAGUGAGUGGCGGACGGGUGAGUAACACGUGGGUAACCUGCCCUAAAGUGGGGGAUAACAUUUGGAAACAGAUGCUAAUACCGCAUAAAACCUAGCACCGCAUGGUGCAAGGUUGAAAGAUGGUUUCGGCUAUCACUUUAGGAUGGACCCGCGGUGCAUUAGUUAGUUGGUGAGGUAAAGGCUCACCAAGACCGUGAUGCAUAGCCGACCUGAGAGGGUAAUCGGCCACACUGGGACUGAGACACGGCCCAGACUCCUACGGGAGGCAGCAGUAGGGAAUCUUCCACAAUGGACGAAAGUCUGAUGGAGCAACGCCGCGUGAGUGAAGAAGGUUUUCGGAUCGUAAAACUCUGUUGUUGGAGAAGAACGUAUUUGAUAGUAACUGAUCAGGUAGUGACGGUAUCCAACCAGAAAGCCACGGCUAACUACGUGCCAGCAGCCGCGGUAAUACGUAGGUGGCAAGCGUUGUCCGGAUUUAUUGGGCGUAAAGCGAGCGCAGGCGGUUUCUUAAGUCUGAUGUGAAAGCCUUCGGCUCAACCGAAGAAGUGCAUCGGAAACUGGGAAACUUGAGUGCAGAAGAGGACAGUGGAACUCCAUGUGUAGCGGUGAAAUGCGU